AAACGUAGGAGGCAAGCGUUAUCCGAAUUUACUGGGCGUAAAGCGUGCGCAGGCGGACUGGUAAGUUGGAUGUGAAAUCUCCCGGCUCAACUGGGAGAGGACGUUCAAAACUGCCAGACUGGAGGGCGGUAGAGGGAGGUGGAAUUCCCGGUGUAGUGGUGAAAUGCGUAGAUAUCGGGAGGAACACCUGUGGCGAAAGCGGCCUCCUGGGCCGUACCUGACGCUGAGACACGAAAGCUAGGGGAGCGAACGGGAUUAGAAACCCCGGUAGUCCUAGCCGUAAACGAUGUGGACUGGGUGUGGAUGGGGUAAAAGCCAGCCGUGCCGAAGCCAACGCGAUAAGUCCACCGCCUGGGGACUACGGCCGCAAGGUUAAA
rnacentral:rRNA from 1 species